AUGGCGGACGAGCCGGCGCUGCCGGUGGCGGCGGGGAGGGACAAGGACGAGCGCCGCCGCUUGAUGGGCAGGUGCGCGCUCGCCGUCGUCGGCAUCAUGAGCACCCUCCUCGUCUACGGCGUCCUCCAGGAAAAACUUAUGAGAGUUCCCUAUGGAGCAGAGAAGGAGUUCUUCAGAUACUCACUAUUUCUUGUUUUCUGUAACCGUAUCACCACAUCCAUGGUGUCUGCACUCGUGUUACUGUCGAGUAAGAAGUCCACGGACCCAGUGGCCCCAAUCCAGAAAUACUGUGUUGUCUCCUUCUCAAACAUACUAACCACAACUUGCCAGUACGAGGCCCUCAAGUAUGUGAGUUUCCCUGUCCAGACACUUGCCAAAUGUGCAAAGAUGAUUCCUGUUAUGAUUUGGGGCACGAUAAUUAUGAAAAAGAAGUAUGGUGGAAAAGAUUACUUCUUUGCAGUCAUUGUGACCAUGGGCUGCUCAUUGUUCAUUCUAUACCCGGCAUCAAUGGAUGUUAGUCCACUUAAUAAAGGCAGAGAAAGUACUGUUUGGGGUGUUUCACUCAUGCUUGGCUAUCUUGGAUUUGAUGGUUUCACAAGCACCUUCCAAGACAAACUCUUCAAAGGGUAUGAGAUGGAAAUUCACAACCAAAUAUUCUACACGACAAUGUGCUCUUGUGUUAUUAGCUUGAGUGGGCUUAUUCUCCAGAAUCAUCUUCUUCCAGCUGUGGACUUUAUGGUUCGUCAUCCAGAUUGCUUCUAUGAUGUCCUAAUCCUAUCCACUGUUGCAACAGCUAGCCAGUUCUUCAUAUCCUACACUAUUCGAACAUUCGGGGCUCUCACAUUCGCUACCAUCAUGACAACCAGACAGUUGGUGAGCAUACUACUGUCCUGCGUCUGGUUCGUGCAUCCCCUUAGCUGGAUGCAGUGGGUUGGAGCUGCCAUUGUAUUCGGUGCCCUGUAUGCCAAAACCUUCUCAAGAAACAAACUGCAGAAGGCCGCGGUCGUGAGCUCACCGUCGCAAGGUUCUGUGCCAAAUGCUGCUAACAGUUGA
rnacentral:rRNA from 1 species